UCCUACGGGAGGCAGCAGUGGGGAAUAUUGCACAAUGGAGGGAACUCUGAUGCAGCAACGCCGCGUGAGUGAAGAAGGUUUUCGGAUCGUAAAACUCUGUCAUUGGGGAAGAAUAAAUGACGGUACCCAAUGAGGAAGCCCCGGCUAACUACGUGCCAGCAGCCGCGGUAAUACGUAGGGGGCGAGCGUUGUCCGGAAUUACUGGGCGUAAAGGGUACGUAGGCGGCUAUAUAAGUCAGGUGUGAAAUACCAGUGCUUAACACUGGAAUUGCAUUUGAAACUGUGUAGCUUGAGUGCAGGAGAGGAAAGUGGAAUUCCUAGUGUAGCGGUGAAAUGCGUAGAGAUUAGGAGGAACACCAGUGGCGAAGGCGACUUUCUGGACUGUAACUGACGCUGAGGUACGAAAGCGUGGGUAGCGAACAGGAUUAGAUACCCUGGUAGUCCACGCCGUAAACGAUGGAUACUAGGUGUAGGGGGUAUCGACCCCCCCUGUGCCGGAGUUAACGCAAUAAGUAUCCCGCCUGGGGAGUACGGUCGCAAGACUGAAACUCAAAGGAAUUGACGGGGGCCCGCACGAGCAGCGGAGCAUGUGGUUUAAUUCGAAGCAACGCGAAGAACCUUACCAGGGCUUGACAUCCCGAUGACCGGUACAGAGAUGUACCUUCCCUUCGGGGCAUUGGAGACAGGUGGUGCAUGGUUGUCGUCAGCUCGUGUCGUGAGAUGUUGGGUUAAGUCCCGCAACGAGCGCAACCCCUAUCCUUAGUUGCCAUCAGUUAAAGCUGGGCACUCUAAAGAGACUGCCGGGGAUAACUCGGAGGAAGGUGGGGAUGACGUCAAAUCAUCAUGCCCCUUAUGUCCUGGGCUACACACGUGCUACAAUGGCCUGUAACAGAGGGAAGCGAAGCCGUAAGGCGGAGCAAAACUCAGAAACCAGGUCCCAGUUCGGAUUGUGGGCUGCAACUCGCCCACAUGAAGUCGGAGUUGCUAGUAAUCGCGAAUCAGCAUGUCGCGGUGAAUACGUUCCCGGGCCUUGUACACACCGCCCGUCACACCAUCCGAGUAGAGGGUACCCGAAGCCGGUAGUCUAACCAGUAAUGGAGGACGCUGUCGAAGGUAUGUUUUGUAAGGAGGGUGAAGUCGUAACAAGGUAACCA
rnacentral:rRNA from 1 species